AGUUGCAUGUCGUAGACCCGAAGCCAGAGUGAUCUAGUCAUGAGCAGGUUGAAGCUCAGGUAAAACUGAGUGGAGGACCGAACUAUAAUCUGUUAAAAAAGGUUUGGAUGACUUGUGACUAGGAGUGAAAGGCUAAACAAACCUGGAAAUAGCUGGUUCUCCCCGAAAUGCCUUUAGGGACAGCCUCAUAUAAAAUUACCGGAGGUAAAGCACUGGAUGGACUAGGGGGCUUCACCGCCUACCAAACCCAAUCAAACUCUGAAUGCCGGUAAUCAACAUAUGGGAGUGAGACUGCGUGCGCUAAGGUUCGCUAGUCAAGAGGGAAACAGCCCAGACCGUCAGCUAAGGUCCCGAAAUACUGCUUGAGUGUAAAAUGAAGUGUGGAUACAAAGACAGCCAGGAGGUUGGCUUAGAAGCAGCCAUCCCUUAAAAGAGUGCGUAAUAGCUCACUGGUCGAGUAUGCAUGCGCAGAUAAUGUAACGGGGCUAAGCAGUAUACCGAAGCUACGGGUCAAUUACUUUGUGUAAUUGGCGGUAGGGGAGCAUUCCAUGGACUGAUGAAGGUGUACCCGAGAGGGGCGCUGGAGGGGAUGGAAGAGAGAAUGCAGGUAUAAGUACACGAAAAGGGGUGUGAGAUUCACCCCCGCCGAAAACCUAAGGUUUCCUGGGUAAAGGUCAUCUGCUCAGGGUUAGUCGGCCCCUAAGGCGAGGGCGAAAGCCGUAGUCGAUGGGAAAUCGGUUCAUAAUCCGAUACCUUUUAUAAUUUCGAUGGCAGGACGCAUCAGGUGAAACCCGGCCGGAGAGUGGUUGUUCCGGUCAAAGCAUUGUGAGCCGUUAUAACGAGUGAUAGGCAAAUCCGUCAUUCAAGGUGAGCUGUUACAGCGAGUGGAUCGAUGAGAGAAGCGAAGCGGGCGUAAUCAUAGUGCCGAGAAAUACUGUCUAAGGCUAGGUUAUAAAAGACCGUACCGUAAACCGACACAGGUAGGUAGGAUGAGAAAUCUAAGGCGCUCGAGAGAACUCGCGUUAAGGAACUCGGCAAAAUGCACACGUAACUUAGGGAGAAGUGUGGCCUUUGUUUGUUAAAGAAUUGAAGGUAUCAUAAAGCAGGCCCAGGCGACUGUUUAUCAAAAACACAGCCAUCUGCAAACCAGUAAUGGGAAGUAUAGGUGGUGACACCUGCCCGGUGCCGGAAGGUUAAGAGGAGCGGUUAGUCUUCGGACGAAGCUGUCAAUUGAAGCCCCGGUAAACGGCGGCCGUAACUAUAACGGUCCUAAGGUAGCGAAAUUCCUUGUCGGGUAAGUUCCGACCCGCACGAAUG
rnacentral:rRNA from 1 species